rnacentral:lncRNA from 1 species
GCCUCUAAAUAAUUUCAAAUAUUCUUUCUGUAUUUUAUAUACAUAAUAAUUUAAUUCUUCCAUCAACAAUCUAUUAGCAAUUUCUUGCGACAUGAUUCUAUUGGGCAUCAGUAGAUUGUAAUCUGAAAGAGAGCAACGAUUUUUAUUAAAUAAAUUUUUUAGUUCAAUCAAAAUAUAAUCUCUUAAUUGGAAUUUUGGGA